rnacentral:lncRNA from 1 species
AUUUUUCUGUGGAUCCAAAAAAGACUGAUAAUUCAUGUCUGCUUAAGCAAACCGGUUGUGUCCAGAAGUAAUAAACCCAUAAAUAUGUCUUGAAGGUUGUGGAAUUUGCAUGUCUAUCAAGGCUUUUCCCAUGCCCUGACAGUCAAGGUAGCUCAUGCCUGUAAUCCCAACACUUUGGGAAUCCAAGAUGGGUGGAUCACUUGAACUCCUGACCUCAGGUGAUCCGCCUGCCUUAGCUUCCCAAAGUGCUGGGAUUACAGGCGUGAGCCACCACACCCAGC